rnacentral:sRNA from 1 species
UGACUUCCGAUUACACGUUUCAGGUGAU